UGGCUCAGGAUGAACGCUGGCGGCGUGCUUAACACAUGCAAGUCGAACGAAGAAGGUUACAAUGAUAGCUUCGGCAGGAUUUCUUUCCAUCUUAGUGGCGGACGGGUGAGUAACGUGUGGGCAACCUGCCCUGUACUGGGGAAUAAUCAUUGGAAACGAUGACUAAUACCGCAUGUGGUCCUCGGAAGGCAUCUUCUGAGGAAGAAAGGAUUUAUUCGGUACAGGAUGGGCCCGCAUCUGAUUAGCUAGUUGGUGAGAUAACAGCCCACCAAGGCGACGAUCAAUAGCCGACCUGAGAGGGUGAUCGGCCACAUUGGGACUGAGACACGGCCCAAACUCCUACGGGAGGCAGCGGUGGGGAAUAUUGCACAAUGGGCGAAAGCCUGAUGCAGCAACAGCCACGUGAAGGAUGAAGGGUUUCGGCUCGUAAACUUCUAUCAAUAGGGAAGAAACAAAUGACGGUACCUAAAUAAGAAGCCCCGGCUAACUACGUGCCAUCAGCCGCGGUAAUACGUAGGGGGCAAGCGUUAUCCGGAAUUACUGGGUGUAAAGGGAGCGUAGGCGGCAUGGUAAGCCAGAUGUGAAAGCCUUGGGCUUAACCCGAGGAUUGCAUUUGGAACUAUCAAGCUAGAGUACAGGAGAGGAAAGCGGAAUUCCUAGUGUAGCGGUGAAAUGCGUAGAUAUUAAGAAGAACACCAGUGGCGAAGGCGGCUUUCUGGACUGAAACUGACGCUGACGCUCGAAAGCGUGGGGAGCAAACAGGAUUAGAUACCCUGGUAGUCCACGCCGUAAACGAUGAGUGCUAGGUGUCGGGGAGGAAUCCUCGGUGCCGCAGCUAACGCAAUAAGCACUCCACCUGGGGAGUACGACCGCAAGGUUGAAACUCAAAGGAAUUGACGGGGGCCCGCACAAGCGGUGGAGCAUGUGGUUUAAUUCGAAGCAACGCGAAGAACCUUACCAAGGCUUGACAUCCCGAUGACCGUCCUAGAGAUAGGACUUCUCUUCGGAGCAUCGGUGACAGGUGGUGCAUGGUUGUCGUCAGCUCGUGUCGUGAGAUGUUGGGUUAAGUCCCGCAACGAGCGCAACCCUUAUCUUCAGUAGCCAUCAUUCAGUUGGGCACUCUGGAGAGACUGCCGUGGAUAACACGGAGGAAGGUGGGGAUGACGUCAAAUCAUCAUGCCCCUUAUGUCUUGGGCUACACACGUGCUACAAUGGCUGGUAACAAAGUGACGCAAGACGGCGACGUUAAGCAAAUCACAAAAACCCAGUCCCAGUUCGGAUUGUAGUCUGCAACUCGACUACAUGAAGCUGGAAUCGCUAGUAAUCGCGAAUCAGCAUGUCGCGGUGAAUACGUUCCCGGGCCUUGUACACACCGCCCGUCACACCAUGGGAGUUGGAAGCACCCGAAGUCGGUGACCUAACCGUAAGGAAGGAGCCGCCGAAGGUGAAGCCAGUGAC
rnacentral:rRNA from 1 species